CCCCUAUGUUCUAUUUUUAGCCGUGGCGGCCAUCUUGGUUGGUUGACUGGGUCACGCCACACAUUUUUUAAACUAGAUACCCCAAUGAUGAUUGUGGCCAAGUUUGGUUUGAUUUGGCCCAGUAGUUUCAGAGGAGAAGAUUUUUGUAAAAGUUAACGACGACGGACGACGACGACGGACGACGGACGCCAAGUGAUGAGAAAAGCUCACUUGGCCCUUCGGGCCAGGUGAGCUAAAAAGGGGGUUUUAAAUUUUAAUUUUU
rnacentral:lncRNA from 1 species